rnacentral:lncRNA from 1 species
CAUUAAACAAAAAAGAAGGCAAAAGAUUUAUACGAUCUGAAGAGAAACCAGAGUAUCCACCUUAAAUUUUAGUUUGUGAAUAAAGUUAACCUGCAGUCUUAGAUGACUGCAUCUUUUUCAUAGAUGGCCAAAAUGUUUUCAAUAGAGAUUUUAAAUAAUACGUUUAAAAUCAUGGUGAUUAUUCAGAAGCAUUUUUAUUUAGAAAGGAGCUGGCUUAUUAGUAUGCUGAUAAUAUUUUUGACAUACACAUUUCAUACCACUAUAACAGUAGUCAUACUUGAAUUAUUUGGUACUCCUUCACAGGAGUGAAAACUUAAACUAAAUGAAAAUAGAUAUUUAGAAUCAUUAAAAACCAUAUUAAAUUAUGGGUUAAUUCUGACUUAACCAGUUUAAGGAAUUUUUAUAGGUGUGAGAUAAAUUUUCACAGAUUAUUUCUAUUUCAGAGGAAAUGGAAAAUACUUUUUAAAAUUUCCCCCUUUUUCUGGGUUUUAAAUAUCUAAGGCAAAAUGUAGAAAAUAGGAUGGCCUACAAAAGCUUGGAGUCGCUAGCUAUGUAGAGCAUUUCUAGGUCUUCUAGCUUGUGUAGUUAAGGAAAAGCCUAUUUGAGAAGUUUGGCUUCAAGUUUCUAUUGUAUCCUAUUCAAGACAAAAAGUACAUGUUCCUUCUAGGCUAAUCCUAGGUUUUUGUCUUCAUGAAUUGUUUUCAAAAAUGGCUAAAAAUGUAUGGAAAACAAUAAAUCCCUUCAUUACUCAGAAUAACGUGUUUAUAGCUGAAGACUCAAAUGUAUUUAAAUUGAAAUUGAAAUUUGCUCCUUUGAGCACUGGUAAUGGCCAGAUACUUUUGAAUCUUAAAAGCAAAAUAAUUAGGCACAUCCCAAAUAUAUAAAAAAUUUAGUGCCUUUGUGGUUGGGAUGGCUCUUAAAAUUGUGUAUCUAAUUAUGGCACUGAAUUGUCUAUAAGGUCUUGAAUCUGGCUAUAAUACAGUAUAUAUGUAUAUAUACAUAUAUAUAUAUAAAAAUUGAAAUUAUGAGGUGUAACUGGCCUGUCUCUACAGAAAGAAUCUAUUAGGCCUCCUGUUUGCAUUUGUACACUAGAAUGUAACAGAACUUGGUGCCUUCAAGGGUUACCUCUUCAGUGGCUUAGAGGUGCUGUUUCAAGCACAAUUUAGACUAGGAUUGAACCACUCAUUGCUCAAAUCAUUGGUGUGCUCAGAUAUUGCAAAUCAUCACUACAUCAGUCCACAAGCAACAGCAAGGUUUAGAUCUACUAAAGGAAAAAGGAAAUAGAUCUACUAAAGGAAAUGGAAUUAGACUUUUUAAACUAUAAGGAUGCAUGUGUAAAUUUAUUGAGUAAAACAAGAACAAUCUGAAAUUAAAGCAGAAAUAAUUAGGGUAUCUCAUUCUUUCCAUCAAGUAAGUUUUGCUGUUCUCUUUAUACUCUAAAAAAUCAUUUUUUCCUUUUGCAGGUGAAAAGGAACAUAAAUCAAAUCAAGUAGUAAUAAGGGGUUAAUUUACUCUCUGGCCAAGGACUCAGUGGUUACUGAUCUUAGUUGAGAAUUAAAAAAGUCAUAUCAGACUCGCAGAUCCAGGAAUUGACCUUAAAUAUUGCCGCUCCUCACCCUUGGACAGAAAUGCCAUUUAGUGGCACUAGUCAAUUUAAGUGAAUUACCCAAGGUAGAGAUGAAUCCCACAAAGUAACUAUGGGAAUUUAAUUUCAUGAUAUCUUUUGUUUGCAAGCUUCCAAAGAAUCAAGGAUUCAUGUUUUAAAAUAUCAGUGCUGUAUAUCCAGCCUAGGAAGUUGAUCUUGCUAGUGGGACCUUUUGAGUUGGCCCUUUUUCUCCCCAGUCACUUUCAUUUGGCUAUAUUUUAAAUUAUGCCAUGCUCAAGAUAGUAUUGGGCCAUCAUCUAGACCUUUGGAGCACAUUUUGAUGAAAACAUAUUUUAUUAUGGUUCAUUAUGUGCUAAAUUAGGGUGGAAUCGAUUAAUGAACCAUGGUUUUGGCUUAGUGCUUUAAAAUGCCUGACACCCCACCCUGUCCCCCCAUAGAACAAGGUGCAGCAAUACCCAAGGUUGAAAAGAGGUCAUGAGUAGCCAGGAAAAUAAACUUACUUUGUUGUAUAUGUUGAAACCCACCCCUCUCCUGCCCUCUAAUGGUCUGUUUACAUUAUUUGGUUAUUGUGCAACUUUUAUCUUGAGAUAAGCAGUAUUAUUAAACUGAAGGUGUAAGUUAAAGGCAAUAUCAUACUGUUGGCUGACGUGGGCAGUUUCAUCUGUAUGUUACUUAUUUGGGGGCUUUAUAUGGCUAGGGCUUCAGAGUAGCGUUCCAAGAUAGCUUACAGAGAGGUUUGCAAACUUAUGGUUUCCCUCUCAAAUCCAUUGUAGCAGUUUCAAAUGAUUGUGUGGAUAUUGGAUAUUUAAAUUUUACCAUUUGCUUUGUAUUGACACAUUUUUCAUUUUUUGUAUUAACUCAUGAACUGUUUAUUUAAGUAAUAAUGCAAAUCCAGACUUCAUCCAGUGGUGAAAAUAGCAGUAUGAUAGGAAAUUUUGCUGAGUGUGCUUUAAAUGAGUAACUGCUUUAUCUUUUUUUAGUAUUUCAUAGAUUUUGUGUGACAUGUACACUCCUAAUUAUGCAUUCUUUGGUUUCCAAAUCUUAACCUAAGACAUUCUUAUGUUAACUGAUUGAUAGCCUAAGAGAGAACUUUCUCUGCCUGUUUCUCCCCUCCCCCAAUUUUUUUUGGGUAAAUUACGGGAAAAUCAAUGCUAUUUCUCGUUUCUCUGGAUGAAGCAAAGCUCCUUUGGACAGCACAACCUAACUGCAUAGCUAGAUAGAAUGGCUAUCGAGAAUAUUUAGAAAAUCCAAAUUAAUCAAAUUAUGAGAAAUCAUAAAUGUAGUUCAUUAAUAAUAUGUGCUUAAUUUUGAACUUAUUUUGGAAAAUUGUUCAAAUUGGGUUCUUUUAAGCUUACUUUAAUCAGCUUAGAAGCAAGAAGCUACUUUGCUAAUGAAAGCUGAGACAUACUUUCAUAAAAGCAGGAAAUUCUUGAGAGCAUUUAAAAAUGGGAGGAUGUUAUGUCAAGAUUUAUACUUUCAGAUAAUCUGUAAGAAUAAAAUUUUUAAAUCCCUGACUUUUGUAGAAUUCCCACUGUCAAAUUCUCACUGACUUGUGAGUAUGGAAAAAGCUAUCUUUUGCUUGAAUUCUGAUGGAAGAGUUUAACUCCUUUUAAAGGAUAUGAAAAAUUCAUUGGAAAGUGUAAUGUGUAUACAUUUCAAAGGCUGUCAAUUGUCUGGACUGAAGGCACUGUUCUUACUGUGGCCAGAUGAAUGGGAGUGUCCUGUACAUGAAUCAUGGUGUUUUAAAUCAGGACAUCACUUAGGUAUUACUGUUGUGUAUACAGAUUUUUGUUUUGGGGAUUUUUUUUUUUUUGGCCUAAAUAAAUGUUACAAAUUUUAUGU